AAAACUGAAGAGUUAAUUCAAUCUCAAGUAGGAGCUAUUGAUAAAUUUUUAAUCAAAGAACCACAAGUUUCAAAUGAAAGUCAUUAUGUUGAUAAUAUUGAUGUUGAAUUUCUUGAUAAUGUGCCCAUUGAAAAUGAUAAUCUUGAUAGUGUGCCUUUUGAAAAUGAUAAUCUUGAUAGUGUGCCCAUUGAAAAUGAUAAUCUUGAUAGUGUGUCCAUUGUUG
rnacentral:lncRNA from 1 species